rnacentral:rRNA from 1 species
UACGUAGGGUGCGAGCGUUGUCCGGAAUUACUGGGCGUAAAGAGCUCGUAGGUGGUUUGUCGCGUUGUCCGUGAAAACUCACAACUCAAUUGUGGGCGUGCGGGCGAUACGGGCAGACUGGAGUACUGCAGGGGAGACUGGAAUUCCUGGUGUAGCGGUGGAAUGCGCAGAUAUCAGGAGGAACACCAGUGGCGAAGGCGGGUCUCUGGGCCGAUACUGACGCUGAGGAGCGAAAGCGUGGGGAGCGAACAGG